CUUCCUGGUUGACGGGUCAGCAUCAGUUUCGACCACUGGAAAAAGGCUUGGGGAAUGUGGCACCUCCGGGUGUGUUAUACCCCCUUGUUGUAUACAGUGGUUGGGACUGAGGAACUCAGCACGCCGCAAGGCCGGGAUUCGUCCACGUUCGUGCUUAGGAUGCUGGCAUAAUGGCUUUAAGCGACCCGUCUUGAAACACGGC
rnacentral:rRNA from 1 species